CAGAACAUGCGCUUCCUCUCUCAGGACUCCCUGCAUCGCUCAGCUGUUACAUCUAGCCGCAACAUCCACACACUAACGUUAUCCGGAGCAAAAACAUCUAUGAUGAAGUAGCAAUACCGUUAAAAUGUUUGGGCUGCUUCCUCUACUGCGGCGGACAUCUGUCAAAACUCCAGCCUGUGUCCUCCUGUCCGCAGGUUACAGCCCCCUCGCCCACGGAGUGAAUAAAAUAACAGAACUGUACUGUACGUGCCUGCAUGUCUUUGGAUGGUGGGAGGAAGCCGAAGCACCCGGAGAGAACCAAUGUGGACGAAAGUGCUGCCAUAAUAGACACACUGACUGGGAGGAAGUAUGCAGGAAGUUGUGGAUCUCCGAAGAGCAGCAGGAAUCUUUUAGGAAAGCACAGCUUCCUUGUUAUCUAGUAUUUGUUUGGAUGUUGUUUUGGGAAUUCAUUCAAAGAAAGGAUUAAUUGUCAGUGCAGGAAACUUCCUAACUGUCCUUAGUGAGAAAUAAUUUGUCAUGCUUGUUUGGUGUAGAAGGAAGAAUCACUGUAAAAUAAAUACUAUGACAUCAUUAUAUGAUGAUGAAAAUCAUAUUGUUUAUUAUGCAGUAAGAAAAAGGGACAUAGAGAUGAACACAAUCUGAUUUCAAUAAAUAUGUAUAAAUAAAUACAAUAAAUAUGAUUUGAAUAAAUAUGUUAGAUAAAAAUUCCAUGGGAAAUACAUUCCAUAUGUACAUGGGAGGAACAAGAGUGGCAACACUGUUGUAGAUACAUCAUCAGCCUCUGAAGGCUGUCCUAGAGACUUUGAUCAAUGUGAUCAAGUAAAGAAUGCUUGUACAAUUCA